UUCCUGCACCUUGGGGAUGGCUUUGGGUCGAAUUCUCCUCCAUGCAAUCUUGUGCUCCUUUGGGUGUUUCUAAUCUUUCUGCCUUCUAGCGUAAAUAGAGAGAUGUUCUCCCAUCGCUAUUGGCUGUCAAAUUUGUGAUGCAAUCCAUCC